CCUUUAAGUUGUCUUUAACGGUCAGUUAAACAUAUUAACUGAGCUCAUUUUUAGUUGGACACUUCAAGCCUCCAAUAAAAUAGGUCAAUUAAACACCUCAUGCUGUAUUGUGUGUUUCUCAAUCCAAUUUCAGCGUGUGAAUGGACUUAAAAUACUAACUAAAGUUUGCCCCCACCCCCAUUCGACCGCUCCAUCAACCAGCCAUCCUAAAUGGUCGCUUCGGUUACCGUACCACCCAACAAAUCAACUCACCAUCCACAAGGGGCAGCCCAACCACCAAAAUACAAAUCCAGUCUACUACUACAUUAAAGAAGAUAAAUCCACCUUUUUUGUGUUAAAAUCAUACUUUGUUAGAACAAUGGUAAUAUCAUAUGAAUCUUAUUCUCUUGUUCUUCAUUUAUGGCAACUGUGACCGCCCCGUUGAUUGGUCGAUGAAAAAUAACUCAAUUACUUCUGAAAUCAAGAAAAAUAUGAAUAUUUCAGAAGCCAAUUAUGCUCAGUACCACGGGCCACCAAAAAAUUUUCAGAUCCACUUUUACCAAAUUCAACCUCUCCAAGCUGAUAAUCACCUUCAAUAGCUCCCAAUCGACCUCACAUCACUACCAAGGUGGCAAAAAUGGUGGUUGUGCUUGAAACAUAAUGGGUUGGUUAAAGCGGGUGAAGGUUGGGGAUUUAAAUUGAAGGGGGAUAAGAAGGAAAUCUGAAAUGAAAAUAAGGGGGAUGAAUCUGGAAAAAAGAAAAUCAAAGGAGGAGGUAUGGAGUUGAAAAUGGUGAUUAAGGAGAAAAAGAAGAAAUAUAUAGUUGCUGAAGAAAAGUGGAGACGAGGAGGAAGGGCCGACAAUGAUUGAUGGUGAUUAAAGGAGCUUUUUUCAUAAUUAUUGUUCUUCUCUCUUUUUUAAAUUGUAUUUUUUUGUUAAUUACAUGUGACAAAAUUACAAGCGUCAUUUUUUAAUUGGUUUAUUUGUGUGUUUAUUUGACCUACUUAAUAGCCACUUAAAGUAUUUAAGUGAAAAUAAUUUCAAUUAAGCUGUUCAACUAAUUGUUGUAGACAACUUGGAGGGGCUGUUUAUGUAUUUCGAUAAAGAAAGAGAGUCUUACUUGCUCAUUAUUAUUAAUAUGAAGAUUUUUUAAAAGACUUAUUUGAUAGAAUAUAAAACUUUAUAUUGUAAUAAAU
rnacentral:lncRNA from 1 species